GUCGCUUCGCUCAGUUCCUUGUAACUUCUGGAAAACGAAGCGUUCCUACCGAAAAUCUACUGCUUCUUUUCCUCUUUAGUUCUAUUCCCUCUUCCAUUUGAGAGGUCCAUCUAAAAUUAUAAAGUAUGUAGUGAAGGAGAAAGGGAAGAAGAUUUUUCUAUAACAGAGUUAAACCAUAUGGCCAAAACUAUGUGUGUUAGAGGGACUAGGAUUUCCUAUAAAACUUAUGAAGUCGAAGUGUUUGUAGGGAAAAGUUGAACAUUUCAAGUUUCAUUGGCUAACUAAUUAAACAAUAUCUGAGAGGAAGUUUACCAUCUUUGAGAAAUAUCUGAAGGCUCUUGACGAUUUCGACAACAAGAAAGGAAGGAAAAUUGUCAGUCAAUUCUUCGUUUUUCUAUAUUUUCACAGUUUUAAUGAUGUGAAUAUUUAGGCUAAAUUCUUGUGGACUAUAAUGCUGAUGCAUAGAGGCUGAAAUAGCUUUGAG